rnacentral:rRNA from 1 species
CGCGUAGGCGGCUUGUACAGUCAGACGUGAAAUUCCUGGGCUCAACCUGGGGGCUGCGCUUGAUACGUGCGGGCUUGAGUUCGGAAGAGGGUCGUGGAAUUCCCAGUGUAGAGGUGAAAUUCGUAGAUAUUGGGAAGAACGCCGGUGGCGAAGGCGGCGACCUGGUCCGAUACUGACGCUGAGGCGCGAAAGCGUGGGGAGCAAACA